rnacentral:rRNA from 1 species
CCUACGGGAGGCAGCAGUGGGGAAUAUUGGACAAUGGGGGCAACCCUGAUCCAGCCAUGCCGCGUGUGUGAAGAAGGCCCUCGGGUUGUAAAGCACUUUCAGUGAGGAAGAACGCCUGGUGGUUAAUACCCAUCAGGAAAGACAUCACUCACAGAAGAAGCACCGGCUAACUCCGUGCCAGCAGCCGCGGUAAUACGGAGGGUGCGAGCGUUAAUCGGAAUUACUGGGCGUAAAGCGCGCGUAGGUGGCUGGAUAAGCCGGUUGUGAAAGCCCCGGGCUCAACCUGGGAACGGCAUCCGGAACUGUCAAGCUAGAGUGCAGGAGAGGAAGGUAGAAUUCCCGGUGUAGCGGUGAAAUGCGUAGAGAUCGGGAGGAAUACCAGUGGCGAAGGCGGCCUUCUGGACUGACACUGACACUGAGGUGCGAAAGCGUGGGUAGCAAACAGGAUUAGAUACCCUAGUAGUC